rnacentral:rRNA from 1 species
GACAGAGGGUGCAAACGUUGUUCGGAAUUACUGGGCGUAAAGCGAGUGUAGGCGGUCUGAUAAGUCGGGUGUGAAAGCCCUGGGCUCAACCCAGGAAGUGCACUCGAAACUGCCAGGCUAGAGUAUCGGAGAGGUUGGUGGAAUUCUCGGUGUAGAGGUGAAAUUCGUAGAUAUCGAGAGGAACACCGGUGGCGAAGGCGGCCAACUGGACGAUUACUGACGCUGAGACUCGAAAGCGUGGGGAGCAAACAGG